rnacentral:tRNA from 1 species
GCGGGCGUGGCGGAACCGGUAGACGCAAGGGACUUAAAAUCCCUCGGGCUUGCCCGUGCGGGUUCGAUCCCCGCCGCCCGCACCA